GAGCGGAUAGCUGUAUAAGGAUAACCUCACUGUUAUCCUGACAAAAUCUCUGGCUUGCAGCUUGUGCUAAAUCGUUGCCCAACAUAAUGGUACUUGGUGGUUCCUUAUGGUACUCACUAGACAUUUGACUCUGACGGAUACUCCCGCUUUUCUGGUUAUCGAAGGGUUUAAGAAAAACCCUUCUCGUAGCCAAUAGAUGUCAGUUGCGGAUUUAAGGACCUGAAUGGUUUAUUACAAUUUGAAACCCAAGCUUUUUUUGAACGUUGGCUAUUUAAAUCGAGACAUGAUGGAAUGGAAAUCCUUGCAUCAUAAAUCAAUUCCCCCCUAAAUUCCUUGUCGGUUAAGUUUCUUUCUGAACCCUAAGUCUUUUUUCUCCCAUUCCUUUCUUCCUCUUCCUAUUCUGUUGCUGGAGUUUAUCCUUCCUCUAUAGACUUUACCCGGUUUCAAGGUAAUUCUUUAAUCUUUUGCACAUACUUCUCAUUCCCUUUUUAGCAUGUCUGGAAUCGUACAAGUGUCAGGAGGGACGGCUAGGGGUUACGGGCACUGUAGCCAAAGGAGUCAUCGGAGAAGUUCUUCGGUUGCAAGCGGUAAUGAUCCACAGUCCCAAGAGACUAGUACUUCAACAAUGACGCAGUUAUAUCGUUUCCUAAUCACCUAGGAGGAUAUGGUAAAUUAUUUGGCAGCCGGGGGUAUCCGGUUACCAAAUUUUGCAUAUCACUUUGAAAUCGUUAAUGGGGAGAGACGCCUGAGUAUUUCCAGCGAGGGUUUCAUACUGUCUCUCUACCUGUUAGAGGCUGACUUCCCCCUUCCAUUACACCCUUUCUUUUACACAGUCAUUGAAGAAUACAGAACUGGGCCAGGGCAGCUGACCAGUUUAUCCUGGUGGACACUAGUGCCGUACUUCCUAAGCUGCAACAUCUGGAAUGAGCCACCCAUGAUUGGCUUAUUCCAACGCUUCUAUCGUUUGAAGGUCCAAACUUAGAGGCCCUCAGCUGGGAUGAUUUAUUUCAAUGUUCGCAAAGGCUGCGAAUCCAUGCUCAGUAAUUUGGCUUCCAACCUUUGCCUAAACCGCAACAAAUUCAUCUUGGUGAGGAGUAAGCUCCCUAACGGGUUCGGUUUCUCUGGAUUGCUGUGAAGCAAGUUGAAAGGUUGAGUCCGGGACGCACUCUGGAAUUGAAAAAACUCAUCACCGUCCAAAAUAUCUUCUGCUACUAUUUAGAGGGAAGAAGCCCAAAUAGUUGGCGGACAACUGAUCUUUAUCUUGGUGUGAGUCCUAGGAUAGUAUAGUUCGCUAAAGAGGCGUGGCCAUUAGGGGUCAAUAACGAGUUAGCUUAGGCGCUUGUUGGAAGAAGCAGGGAGCCCCUAAAUUUCUUUUAUAUCGUUUGCAAUAUACCUCCCUUCCACUGGUCCACUUCCUCGUUAGGAUUCAGAGGUGAGUCAUCAGGUAAAUAUUUAACUGAGAAUGUUGCUGAUCCCUCUUUUGAUACUGCAGGCCCCAGUCUUUCCUCACUCCCAUCACAACCUUCUCAGCCUAAAGUUAUGGAUGUAGAGGCGCUAAUGGAGAGUGCACAACAGACUGUGGAAGCUACCGACGCUAGGAUUUAGGCGGGCAGUAGUAGCUGCAAGAGGUCAAGAUCUGAAAGGGACUCCUUCAAAGUUGAGGAGGGUAGUGGCAAUAGAUUAACCUGCCACAGGCCGGGCAAGGAGCUAAUCUUUUCGGAGAGUGAGUCCCCUGUUCCUCCUUCAGCCAUCCCCGAGCUUCCUACUGAAUUCGUCAAUGCUGAGGACCCUCCUACACCCACUUCGACGCCUUUUCCCGCGGGUUUAGGUUUAAGCACUCCC
rnacentral:lncRNA from 1 species